rnacentral:lncRNA from 1 species
GCUGGUGGAAAGUAUAAUAGUAAAUCAAUAUGGAUCGCUGGUUUAAAGUUUUAAUAGUAAAUCAGUAUAGACCGUUGCUUUAAGUUUUAAUAGUAAACCAAUAUGGACCGUCCGUUUAAAAGUAAAUCAAUCUGGAUCGUUCAUGAAUUAGUUACUAUUCAGUCCAUUCUCCUAUAAAUAGAAGUUCAUUCCUUCAUUAUUUC